CUCAAAACCCUAUAUAAGCCCAACCCUAGCCGUUUUUCCAAUAUCAGUCCAUCAAAGGGUAAAAAGAAAGAAAGAAAAAACCUAGCCUUUAUUCUGAUUUGCUGUAUGUAUAAGGAGUUAUAGCUGAUGCAUAAACUGAAAAGGUUGGCUUACCAGCCCAUUGCACUUUAUACUCCAUUGCUUUGGGGUCAAAUGGACCUUCCGAUAUUUUUAUUUUUCCCCUCUGUUUUAUUUGAUAAUUUGAUGGCUCUGUUACAUGGCAAAUGAUGAUACUUUUGUUUACACUGAAUAAUCAUGUGGAUUAUAAACUCCGCUUAUUAUCUGAUGCCAUCAAUUUCUUUUUGUAGUUGUUCAUAUACUUAAAUUCGUUUGGUAUUUGUCAGAGAAUUUUUAGUCGUAAUGGGUAAAUUCUUAAUUAUUGCUCUUUGAUGAGAGAAAAGCAGACGGGCGGUCAGAACCUGAUGCCGUGUUGAAUGUCUGCAUAAUUUCCUUUCAUGGAAUUUCUCUGAGAGCUAUAGCUAUUCUAAUUAAGUAGUUUCUUUUGAGGUUGUAAUUUCUCUGGCUGCCGUGCCUUUUUUCUUCUAUAUAAAUGUCUUUAGUUACUCAUUUCAUCAGCUUGCAGUGAUGAUCUUGCUAAAAUUAUGUCUGGACUUAUGAAAAUUGUUCAUGAUUAAUUGAUUGCAAAUUCUGAGCAGC